rnacentral:rRNA from 1 species
GAUGAACGCUGGCGGCGUGCCUAAUACAUGCAAGUCGAACGAGGUGCUUGAGUAGCAAUACAAGAGUAUCCUAGUGGCGAACGGGUGAGUAACGCGUGGGUGACCUGCCCCGAAGUGUGGGAUAACAGUCCGAAAGGAUUGCUAAUACCUCAUGUGGUUAUCGGAUUUAGAAACUGAUAACUAAAGCAGCAAUGCGCUUUGGGAGGGACCUGCGUCCCAUCAGCUAGUUGGUGAGGUAAUGGCUCACCAAGGCUACGACGGUAGGGGACCUGAGAGGGUGGCCCCCCCAANAAUGGAACUGAAACACGGUCCAUACACCUACGGGUGGCAGCAGUAGGGAAUAUUG